rnacentral:misc_RNA from 1 species
GUUUUGCUUCUUCAACCAACUACGAACCUCUCUAGCAGUGAGAGCUUCAGCCACCUGUGGAGUCAGCAUGCUGGGAAAAAGUUACAUUGUUCCAUGUAUGAAACGACAGGAAGCAUCCCGAAGCACCCAACCUAUACCCGUCCUGUCUGAGCCAUUUUCUACCGCUGCAUCAAAAUUGCACUUAAGAAAGCCUUGCUCGGAGGUCUCCAUUUGACAGGAUGUUCAACACUUUGACUAGGCAGAGCUGAACCUGGACAUUCCUAUGCUGCUAUCCAGUCGGCAUGAGCUGCUUUAGCCUGCUGCAAAAUUUGAGCAGCACAAGAGUCGUCCAUUCUGCCACACAACCCCAUUUCGGUAUUCCAUA